rnacentral:rRNA from 1 species
UACGAAGGGGGCUAGCGUUGUCCGGAUUUAUUGGGUUUAAAGGGUGCGUAGGCGGUCUAUUAAGUCAGCGGUGAAAUACUCCAGCUUAACUGGAGGGGUGCCAUUGAUACUGAUGGACUUGAGUCAAGUCGAGGUAGGCGGAAUUGACGGUGUAGCGGUGAAAUGCUUAGAUAUCGUCAAGAACACCAAUAGUGAAGACAGCUUACUGGGCUUAAACUGACGCUGAGGCACGAAAGUGUGGGGAUCAAACAGG